rnacentral:rRNA from 1 species
UAAAUAUAUCCACUUACACCUGUGAACUGUUUUACUACUUGACGCAACUCGAGUAUUUUUACAAACAAUGUGUAAUGAACGUCGUUUUAUUAUAACAAAAUAAAACUUUCAACAACGGAUCUCUUGGCUCUCGCAUCGAUGAAGAACGCAGCGAAUUGCGAUAAGUAAUGUGAAUUGCAGAAUUCAGUGAAUCAUCGAAUCUUUGAACGCAGCUUGCGCUCUCUGGUAUUCCGGAGAGCAUGCCUGUUUCAGUGUCAUGAAAUCUCAACCACUAGGGUUUCCUAAUGGAUUGGAUUUGGGCGUCUGCGAUUUCUGAUCGCUCGCCUUAAAAGAGUUAGCAAGUUUGACAUUAAUGUCUGGUGUAAUAAGUUUCACUGGGUCCAUUGUGUUGAAGCGUGCUUCUAAUCGUCCGCAAGGACAAUUACUUUGACUCUGGCCUGAAAUCAGGUAG